CGUGCAGUCGGAUUCUCUGCCGCGUGCGGUCCACGUGGAAACGGCGCGACACGUGGCCACCCCACCCUGCCCUGUUACGAAAGUACUCUCCGGUCAGUAACAUUCGGUGGACGACAAUAGGGAGUGUUUUAUAUAAACGGCGACGUCAAACCAACACCCCACCCCUCCGCCCCGCCUCUUUCCCACCUGCGAAGUGUGAUGACAGCGGGGAGUUCUGUGAAACCAACCAAUUGUCAGAGUCGUCACGUGAUCAGAAUCUCCCGGUGUAACAAUUACUUGCGGAGCUUUCGAAGCAGGCAGUUUACGGUAGGAGAGAACAACGAUUCCACUUUUCUACUUCAGUGAGAAUCGUUCUCCUGUGCAAGUGAUCAGAGUGAGCACACUUCACUUGGACCAUCCACCCACAUGGCAGCUUUACAGUCCACUCUUCAGCUUACGGAUCCGUAAGA